UACAGAGGGUGCAAGCGUUAAUCGGAAUUACUGGGCGUAAAGCGUGCGUAGACGGUUGCGUAAGUCAGAUGUGAAAGCCCCGGGCUCAACCUGGGAAUUGCAUUUGGGACUGCAAGGCUGGAGUGCGGCAGAGGAGACUGGAAUUCCUGGUGUAGCAGUGAAAUGCGUAGAUAUCAGGAGGAACGCCGAUGGCGAAGGCAGGUCUCUGGGCUGACACUGACGCUCAUGCACGAAAGCGUGGGGAGCAAACAGG
rnacentral:rRNA from 1 species